rnacentral:lncRNA from 1 species
AUGUUCCAUCACCUGUCCUUUCUUUUGAUGCCAGUUUGACUUGUGUUGUAGAUUCAGUCAUCUCUUUUACCAGUCCAAUUGCUUCAUCUUCAUGUUCCUAUCUCUCAAAAACAAUGUUAGUUUCAUCAAAUACAACAUGCACACUUUCUUCUACAUACAAAUUUCUUUUAUUAAAAACUUUAUAUGCUUUGCUAUGUGAAUAACAUCCCAUGAAUACUCCCUCAUCACUUGUGAGGUCAAAAUUACCUAGGGAGUCUUUUCCAUUAUCGUGCACAUAGCACUUGCAACCAAAUGCCUUAAGAUGGGAUAUGUUUGGUAUUCUCCCUUUAAGUAACUCAUAGGGAGUCUUCUCAACAAGAGGUCUGGUCAUGCAUCUAUUGAUUAUGUAGCAUGCAGUGUUUACAACCUCUCCCAGAAGCUGUGAGGUAAUUUACUAGAGAGAAGCAUGGUCCUUGCCAUAUCCUCAAGGGUCCUGUUCUUUUUUUCAACUACUCCAUUUUGCUGAGGAGUUCUAGGGGCAGAGAAGUUAUGAUGUACACCAUUUUCAUCACAAUAUUCAGUAAAUUUUCCAUGCAAAACAAUCUUGUCAGUGGUAAGGUUAAUCACAAAUCAUUUGGUAGAGGUGAAAACUAUAUUUCAAGACAUCUAUCAAGUAGACAUUCUCAAUGGCAUGAUAGUCUGUAUUACCUGCCUUUCCAACCCCAAUGAUCUCACCUUUCUUUCCAUUACCAAAGGAGACAUUACCUCCUUUUAGGUCUUCAAGUGAAAGGAACUGGUCCUUGUCCCUUGUCAUAUAUUUUGAGCAACCACUAUUCUUAUUCCAUAUUUGGUUCCUCCCUUUCAUUUGGAUCUGCAAAAAAGAAAUCAGGGGGUAGUAUUAGAAAUCCAAACUAGUUUGGGCCCCUUUCUAUGGGCAAAAAGAUGAAUCAGAUUUUCUCUUGCCCAACCAGGCAACUUGUUUUUCUUGAACAAAAGCUUUAUUCUUUUAACUGGCCUUCUCUUUUGCAUUGCAUUCAUUCUUGUGGCCAGUCCUGCCACAAUGUGUGCAGAUUUUAUUUUCAGGAAGCGUGAGACACUUGUUUUUUGGAUCUCAUUUUGAAGCUUGCCUCCCAUAACCGCUAUUGUGGUGCUUUUGUAAUCAAGAAAGUACAUCAGAAGCCUUGUUCCAGUUAGUUCUAUCAAGUUCAUGUUUCACUUUUCCUAGAUCUUCAUUUAGGACUUUGAUCAAUUCAUCAUUUUUAUAUAGCUCACUUUUCAAUUUUCCUAAAUUUUCUUCUAGAGUGAGAUAUGAGUGAUCAGCCUUCAUUUUUCCUAUUCCCAGUUUCAGUUUUACAUUCUUAGAUCUAAGAUCUAAGACAGUGUUAUUGAGUUCAAGAAUCUGGUUAUUCAACACAAUAUUUUUGUUAUCACUCUCAUCAUCCCUAGACUCUAGACUCUUGCAUUUUGCGUUUAACAUCAAACAUUCCCUAGAUAGAACUUCCUUUUCAUUGUUAACUAUCUCAGACUCAUCAAUGAAGUCUAAUAAUAGCUCAACCAACCUUUUUAAAGACAAAAAUUUAAUUUUGUCUUUGAGAUGCAGAAUACUUACCUUUUGCUCAUCAUCUGAUUAUCCAAUGGCCAUAAGAGCUUUCUCUUCCUCAGCUUCAUCUUCCGAGUCUUCAUCAGAGGUUUCACCCCAAGCAACAACCAUAUCCUUGGUUGAACCUUUCUUUCUUUUUGGUUGAACAUGUUCCUUCUUCCUGUUUCUUCGCUUAGACCUUUCUUUCUUCCACUCAAUUUCCCAUUGAGGGAAGUUCUAGAUCAUGUGAUCAGUCUUACCACACUUAUAACUGUCACACCUCCUUUUUACACACCCCAAAAGGGCAUAAGGGAUUUUUUCCACUUUAAGUGACAUUAUUCGAAAUGAGAUUAUUUAUUUUAUUCAGAAUCGCCACUUGGGAUAAUUAUGGUGUCCCAAGUCACCGAUUUAAAUUAAAUCCCAAAUCGAGGAAGUAUUAUUUUUUUUAAGAGUCUGCGAACCAAAAAUUCUAAGUAAGGAAUUCUAUUAACCCGGAAGAAUGUGUUAGGCAUCGUGGUUCUAGCAUGGUCGCUUAGAAAUUUAUAUUUGACUUAAUCAUCUAACUACUAAUUUUUAAGAUAUAUGUGCAGUUAUUUUUAUCGCUUUUCAAAAUUUAAUUAUUCGUAAUUAAAGAAUCAAGUUACAGGUACGUAUAUAUUUUUUUUUUAUAGUUUCAGUGUGUUGCAUUAAAGCUUCCAUGGAUGUUCCAAACACAAGGACAUGAUUGCUCUAGAUCAAUACAAAUCCAUAGAGCUUGGAUAUUAUUGAACACAAUUUCCCAGAUAUUCCGCCAAACUUUCUUAACAGUUUUUACAUUCUCAAUUUUCUAAGCCAAAAUGGUCCAAAAAGUGGGAUCAUAAAGAGGAAGUCUACACAAUAUAAAUUUGAACCAAGGAUACGAUAUAAUAGGAGUAUAUCAAAAAAAUUUACCAAUCAGGUGCAGUAUAAAUACUCUUUCAAAUAAAAUAAAAAGAAGCUACAAACAUUUACUUCAUAACAUAUAACAAUGAGCUAAUGGAGAUCUUACUUCAAGAUAUUCAAGUUCAACAUAAUCUUGCCAACAGCUAUGGGAAUCAUCCCCUUUUAGAGUAGAACAAUAAUAUAAAUUCUGUAGAAUUAAACUUGAGGAGGGGAAAGCCAAAUCAAAGCAUAAUUGCCUUCCUGCCCAUUUGGAUAAACCACGACCCAAAUCAUAGCCAAAAGAAAUGACUACUUUCAAAAUAGUUCAUGGAUUUCCAGCCAACAAACUUAAUAUUCAUAUUGACCACUAAAUGCUAAAAUUAAAUGAGUACUACACAAUUAAAAAUUUCCACUAGAAUUAAAGAUUCAAACAGCCCGUUUCAAUUUCCGAUUUGUCUAGCACACAUUUCUCAUUCCAUUUACAAUUUGGAAUUCUCAGAACUCUUAUACCAUAAGCAAAAGUAAUAGUCAGAUUCAAUUCAAGCAGUAAAAGAAAUAUCACAACAAAGAUAUUCAAUCAAAUACAUUUCAUCACGAUCUUCAGUAUAUCAACAAAACAAACAAUAAGACAAGAAAAAUCGAGGCAGUAGAUGUUUACCUCACAUUCAUAACAGGAAAGGGAAAAAGCCCAAAUAAAGGUCCAAGGCUUUAAGAUGAAGCUCAACAACCUAAAUGGAGAAAAACAUCAUCAGCUUUAGAUUUCACAGCUCUUUUAGAAAAUCGAAGAAAAAGAAUUAACUUUCAGUUUUCAAUUCCAAAUUCCACUUGCUCCCGAUUUUGCUUUUUGUUGUUGUCAUUUUCUGUUCUUUCUCAUGUGACAUUUUCUACAUUUGUGUGCAUUUUUUGGCGUGAGUGUGUGUUCCAUGAGUGAAUUCCAGUUGAGAGGGAGUGAAAUUUGAUGGUUUUUUCAGAGGACUCAGCGAUGGAGUGCUUUCUUCGGUUAGGGGUCUCCUCAAAAUGGGGAAAGGUUCUGAUGGAUUUUUUUACGUGUAUUUGUGUGUGGGUCUCUCUCUAGGUAUUAAGGGGUAUGGGCCUAAUGUUUUGAGUUUGG